UACAGAGGUCUCAAGCGUUGUUCGGAUUCAUUGGGCGUAAAGGGUGUGUAGGUGGCGCCGUAAGUCGGGUGUGAAAUUUCGGAGCUUAACUCCGAAACUGCAUUCGAUACUGCGGUGCUUGAGGACUGGAGAGGAGACUGGAAUUCAUGGUGUAGCAGUGAAAUGCGUAGAUAUGUGGAGGAACACCGAUGGCGAAGGCAGCCCCCCUGGGUUAACACUGACGCUCAUGCACGAAAGCGUGGGGAGCAAACAGG
rnacentral:rRNA from 1 species